AUGCUUGGACUGACUACAUUGGUUUUCUGGCUUGCUGGCAUAUGUGAUGGUGUGCAGAGACUGACCUGUCCUUAUGAGCUAAAGGACGAGGACCUCCCUAGGGUGUGGUGUAAGGAGACGUCCCCACAGUGCUGUUCAGGCUUCAGCUUCAGCAGGGAGAGCCAGUCUUUGGAUGCAGGAAGGCUGAAGGUGACUCAGGGUGUUGGCUCCUUCAUUGUGGAUGUCCAGGGCCUGGCCCAGGGAGAGGGAAUGUAUUGGUGCGGUGUGCUGAGCAGCAAUAAAACCAUCAUCAAACUGGCUGAGGAGUACUUCUACAGCGGUUCCUACGUUUGGGACAUUCUUCGCUGGAUUCUGAUGCCUCUGCUCCCCAUGGCGAUCAUCUUUUCUUACUGUUGCUUAAAAAGAAAAGACCAAAACAAGAAGGAGAAGGGAGUAUACAUGAACAUCACUAUGAUCUCAGAUCUGGCACAAAAUAAUCCACAUACUGAAGAAGAGAUAACUGAGCUGGAAUGA
rnacentral:lncRNA from 13 species